CCCUUGGGAGUGACCUAGAAUAAAGUGGUUAAGGGUUAGUAGGGUUGAGAGUUAGUCUCUACUUAAAUGUGUAAGUUUAAGUUAGAAAAAUAAAAAUAAAAACAAGAGAGAGAGAGAGAGCCGUGAGAGUGAGUGGAGAAACACUACAUUGUUCUAGACCAAUCAAGUUGGUGAGAGAAAGAAGAACAUCCUAGUGUUUGGGUGGUGGUCGUGACUUGAGAGAGUCUUAGAGGAGUGAAGACUUGGAGUCUAGUGAAGGGAGGAAACCUAAGAGCCUUUGGAAGCUUGCUUGCAACUAGAGGUAAGGGGUUUAACUUGGGAUAUAAUAUGGUGUAUGAUGGGUAGAAGGUAACAUGAUAAUGUUGAUGCAUGCUUCCUUUCUUUUGUGUUGAGAUUAAAGUUA
rnacentral:lncRNA from 1 species